rnacentral:tRNA from 1 species
GCGCCUGUAGCGUAACGGAUAGCGCAGUGGCCUCCGGAGCCAUACGUACAGGUUCAAUUCCUGUCAGGCGCA